rnacentral:misc_RNA from 1 species
UUAACUUAUUGAAUAAGUAAUCAGAGAUGCUAAAAUGCAAAGAGUUUGUAUUCCUCCGGCGGUCCGCCCUGAAGGCUCGCCGCCGAGGCAACUGUUAGGUUCGUUCACAAAGGGUUGGGAGUUUUGCAACUCUGUAAUGAUCCCUCCGCUGGUUCACCAACGGAGA